rnacentral:lncRNA from 1 species
AAAAAAACAUUGAACUUCGAAGAUGUACAGAAGUAAACUAGAACUAAAAAAGCAGAUGGAUCUCAAAAGAGCCAUCAGCGCAAAAAUUAAAUGACGCCAAUCCAAAGGUCAGUCCAGAAGUGUUCAAAUCGGCACACAGUAUCAGCAACAAGUGCUAAAACAACUGGCUUGCACAAAGUAUAAGCUUGAUUGCUACAAGCAGCAUAAUCCACUGGAUGAUUUAGAUUAAUAUAUUACUUAGACGUGACGUGACCCAUAAUCCACUGAUGUUCCACGAAUGUUUACUCCACGGAAUAACCCUGACCACUCGGACCAAAACAAUAACCACCACAACCCAGUCUCAGAUAACGAUAGGGCACGACAUAAUAAUAACUAAGCAGCAGGUCUCUGCCACAGAACAUCGACUAGCUUAGUCGACCUCCUCAAUCUUGGGGCCAGCGCCGCCGGAUGCAGCCGGGGUGUCGUCAUCCAUGCCGCCCUCCAUGUCGGCGCCAGCACCCUGGUACAUCUUGGCGAUGAUGGGGUUGCACAGGGCCUCCAGCUCCUUCAUCUUGUCCUCGAACUCGUCCGC